rnacentral:rRNA from 1 species
GGACCCGCACAAGCAGCGGAGCAUGUGGUUUAAUUCGAAGCAACGCGAAGAACCUUACCUAGACUUGACAUCUCCUGAAUUACUCGUAACUGAGGAAGUCCCGACCGGGACAGGAAGACAGGUGGUGCAUGGUUGUCGUCAGCUCGUGUCGUGAGAUGUUGGGUUAAGUCCCGCAACGAGCGCAACCCCUAUUGUUAGUUGCUACCAUUAAGUUGAGCACUCUAGCGAGACUGCCUGGGUUAACCAGGAGGAAGGUGGGGAUGACGUCAAAUCAUCAUGCCCCUUAUGUCUAGGGCUACACACGUGCUACAAUGGCCGGUACAAUGAGAUGCAAUCCCGCGAGGGGGAGCUAAACUUAUAAAACCGGUCCCAGUUCGGAUUGUAGGCUGAAACUCGCCUACAUGAAGUUGGAGUUGCUAGUAAUCGCGAAUCAGCAUGUCGCGGUGAAUACGUUCCCGGGUCUU